rnacentral:pre_miRNA from 1 species
GUAGUAUUCCCUCCGUCCCAAAAUUCUUGUCUUACAUUUGUUUAGAUAUGGAUGUAUCUAACACUAAAAUGUAACUAGAUACAUUUGUAUUUAGACAAAUUUAAGACAAGAAUUUUGGGAUGGAGGGAGUACAAA